rnacentral:rRNA from 1 species
AACGAACGCUGGCGGCAUGCCUAACACAUGCAAGUCGAACGAAGGCUUCGGCCUUAGUGGCGCACGGGUGCGUAACGCGUGGGAACCUGCCCCUCGGUUCGGAAUAACAGUUAGAAAUGACUGCUAAUACCGGAUGAUGACUUCGGUCCAAAGAUUUAUCGCCGAGGGAUGGGCCCGCGUAGGAUUAGCUAGUUGGUGGGGUAAAGGCCUACCAAGGCGACGAUCCUUAGCUGGUCUGAGAGGAUGAUCAGCCACACUGGGACUGAGACACGGCCCAGACUCCUACGGGAGGCAGCAGUGGGGAAUAUUGGACAAUGGGCGAAAGCCUGGUCCAGCAAUGCCGCGUGAGUGAUGAAGGCCUUAGGGUUGUAAAGCUCUUCUACCAGGGAUGAUAAUGACAGUACCUGGAGAAUAAGCUCCGGCUAACUCCGUG